AGUGAACGCUGGCGGUAGGCCUAACACAUGCAAGUCGAACGGCAGCACAGUAAGAGCUUGCUCUUACGGGUGGCGAGUGGCGGACGGGUGAGGAAUACAUCGGAAUCUACUUUUUCGGGGGGGAUAACGUAGGGAAACUUACGCUAAUACCGCAUACGACCUACGGGUGAAAGCAGGGGAUCUUCGGACCUUGCGCGAUUGAAUGAGCCGAUGUCGGAUUAGCUAGUUGGCGGGGUAAAGGCCCACCAAGGCGACGAUCCGUAGCUGGUCUGAGAGGAUGAUCAGCCACACUGGAACUGAGACACGGUCCAGACUCCUACGGGGGGCAGCAGUGGGGAAUAUUGGACAAUGGGCGCAAGCCUGAUCCAGCCAUACCGCGUGGGUGAAGAAGGCCUUCGGGUUGUAAAGCCCUUUUGUUGGGAAAGAAAAGCAGCAGGUUAAUACCCCGCUGUUCUGACGGUACCCAAAGAAUAAGCACCGGCUAACUUCGUG
rnacentral:rRNA from 1 species